GAGGGGGUCAGGGUGUUCCUGGAACACACUUCUCUCCUCCCUCGUUCUGUCCUUCUUUCCCUCACUCCCAUCUUCACUGCAGCCUACUUUAAUAGGAGACUGCUGUUUCAUUUUUUCCUGCACUUUUCUGAUCAAAGCCAAUAUAAGAAACCAUUACCAGGAAGAGACAGGAGUGUCUCUCUCUCUCUCUCUCUCUGUAGGACACACUGUAGCAGUCUAGGACACCAUGGGCAGUGAACAGAGACCAACAAUAACUACCCACAAUAACUACCUUAUUGUCAUUUUUGGAAAAAUAUGUGAAUGUCACCGAUCCAGAAAAUAUGCUAAGCGCAAUGACAAACAGGUGUAGCUAAAGAGCAUCAGGUUGCUACACAUCAAUGUCACCAACUUGGCCUGCUGAAGGCUCUAUGGCUCAAAUGCCCCUGCUGCAUGUUCUUCAGUCUGUUUAUCAAGUCUGCCAGUCAAAUGUACUCUGAUCUCUUUACUUAAGAAACCAGGACAGAUAAGUGGUUGUUGGAGCAAUAGUGGGCCUUUAACUAGCAACGGUGCGUAGAGAGACGAAUGCAUGCAAUUAUAGAUAUCUUCCCUGGCUUGGUCUGCCUCAGAGUCACACUCACAUUAACCAUCCUCAAACACUUUGUCUGCAUUUCCAUGUGGCUCUUUCCUGCAAGUAGAUUUUUACAAAUGGUUUGUUUCAAUAUGUAACAUGCAUUUUCUUAAACUAAUCUGUAAGUGUUUUGGUUUAUGGCAACCAUUACUGAGGAGGCUGUUUCAGAUUACAUGAUGUAGGUAGUCUCAAGCAACAUUACGCUCUGCGCUGCUCUGACAUAGAUUCUGAAUGUAAGUUGUAGGUGAUGUAAAAGUUCUGGACAUCCUCCCUCUUAAAUGGAUACCACUAGAGAUUGGAUGUCACAUUGCAAGACACCAUAAUAUGACACAUUAGGAAAUAUGCAAAUGAGACUUUACACCCUUAUACCUCAAAUGGAACCAUAUAAACCCCAAAAUAGUGUUGUUUGACGACAUAGGAGUUGAAUUAACUCUUGCGAUUGUAUUGAGCGUAAACGUUACUCUAAAUAAUUAACUCUAGAAUACUGAACAACACUAUUUUGAAUUAAUACUGUACAGAGUGAAACCCAAUGAAGCAGAGUUAAAUAUCAACCCUAAAUUGAGCUUACACAACUCUGAAAAAAUAACUCUAUUGCCAGAGUACGUUUUACAUAAUUUUCUGGUCAAAUCCCAAAACCCUGAGUCUACUUAGGAAAUAGAGGCGUUGUUGAACUCUGCAGAAGACACGGUCUACUUGGACCUUCCAGUUCAGUACAUUGUCCUAGUGUGCACCCAGCUACUUGUACGAACUAAGCUGUGCUGUGUUAGCAUUCUGAACAACCACAGGCACGUGGUUGCCAACAGAUUUGGGGUCAAACACCAUCUCCUCUGUUUUCUUUACAUUGAGGAUAAGAUGGUGCUCAUCACACCACUUGACAAACCUUUGAAUUUCUGACCUGUACACGGUAGUAUCAGCAUCUUUAUACAUCACACCAAGGACGGCCGUAUCCUCAGAAAACUUGACAAUAUAGUCAUUAGGAUUACUGCUGGUGUAUUCAUGUGUGUACAUGAUGAAUAAGAUGGGUGCACUCCCACAACCCUGCGGGCCCCUGUGCUAAUGUCUCUAGCCUCAGAGAGGGUUCUGUUAACACUAACCUGCUGAGUAUUGCUCGUCAGGAAUGAGCGCUACCACCUUAUGAUACAGGAGUUAACACUCGUCUGCUUUAAAACUGACUGAGUAGGACAUGUGGCUGUGUUGUGUUAAACGCUGAAAAUAAAUAACAGGCCUCGGGUUUUCCAGAUGCUUAACAAUGAGAUGCACUAUGGUGUUGAUUGCAUCAUCUUGUCUCACAACUUUUCUUAUAGGCAAAUUACUAAGGAUCUAACACAGGGUUCACAUCUGAAUGGAGCUCGCACACCAUGAUCUUUUUAUUCUUACAGGUGUGCUUGAAGACUCAAAUGACAACUACAGGGUUGAUUUCCAACCUAGGAACACAAUAAUCAAUAACAAUGGAGCCAAUCACAUUAUCACACUCAACAGAGAAGUCAUGUACAUCAAAUCUUGUAUAAAAAAAAACUUUUAAUUCCUUGGCUUUGGUCAGGUCAUCUGGUGUGUGCAAGGAUUUAUUUUGCAGGGUUCAUGUUGCUGAUUGUUCGCAUCGACUCCCACCAUUUUUUGGAGUUCUUUGUAAGGAACUAUUUGUUCCCACUGCUUCCGUGUGUUGUUUCCUUGUCUCUCUGAGCAUUUGGUUGAGCUCCUUUUGCACCCAUUUCAGUUGUUGUUUGUCCUUGUUUUUGAAUGGUUGCCUCUUGCUUCUUGCCUCUUGCAAUUGAUCCAUGUCCUUGACCUCAUUUGUGAUGUAGUGUGUGUUGUUUGGGUAUGACUUUUUGUCUUCUGGCAUAUCAGAGUCAACACAGAAAUGUAUGUAGUUUGUGACAACCUGUGCUGACUUGUGCAUGUCUAACUCGUGAAAAAUGUCCCAAUCUGGACACAGAACAUCCCUUAAGUGAUUCUAUACUGUCCUGCUUCCAGACAUUCACAGAUUUCACAAGGGGUUUACUGCUCCUGAGCUGUAGGUAGGUGGGAAUGAGCUGGACAGUGUUGUGAUCAAGCUAGACAGGGAUGGUUUGGCUCUAGCUGUGUAAAGGAGAUUGAGGAUGUACUGAGAGCUCCAACUGAACAGAGAACCUAGCCGACAAGAAAAGGACGGCUAUGGAAGGAAAAAUACAUUUUCUAUUCAUAGAAAGGUGGUAAUUAAAAAAGGCCUGACUGAGACUGAAAAGUGAGUUGGUUAGGACGAAAACAAGUCAGCAAGGGUGAUGUUCUCCCUCUGUGGAAAGGGUUCUACAUGGAUCCUAAAAGGGUUCUACCUGGAACCAAAAAGGGUUCUUCAAAGCGUUCUCCUAUCUGGACAGCCGAAUAACCUUUUUAGGUUCUACAGUACAUAGUGUAUGUUCACAUAAAUUGCAGCCAAGACUGGAAUUUUCACUUAAUUUCCGUGGCCAUACUUCUUUUCAUAGAUAGAUUGCAUGUCUGCUCAUUUAAUUCUCAAGCCACCAACAUAAUAUUUGAUAGACAUCGUUUACCAACUGGGGUCAUUUUGACCCCAAGAAGAAACUAUUGGAAAAAGCAUCAAUCACAGCAAAAUAUCAACUUAUGUUUUAUCAAAACAUCAUAAAACAUUUGCUACAUGUUAUCUGAAGUAAAAGAUGACCAGAAUAGACUGUUAUUUUAGCAAAAUUACUGUUAAUCAGCAUAUUCUGUCAAACAUAUGUAUGCAUUUUUUUUAAAUAAAAUUUGCAGCUUUUUCCAAAGUACAAUCCACAUUAGCACUAAAAAAGCAAAUUUACCGUAAUUUAAUUAUAGUUACAUUUAGUUUUCAGAAUUUUUAAGUAAAUAUCAAUUGUGUCAUAUUCAUGUAGUCAAAAUUAUCAUAUUUUCGAGGGGCAGUACAGCAACAUUUUAAAUACAUUUUAUUGACAAAAAGUAUUCAAUUAAUUUCAAAAAGUGAUUCUGAGAGACAAUGACCAAACUAUUGCAAAAAGAAUGCCCACAUCUAAGUCACUACAAACCAAAGUAUAUAGCACCAAACAUAUACGUCCAAGUUGCACAUAUAAAAUAUUGGAGGAUAUUAUAGCAAUUCUGGUAUUAAUAUCAUAUUUUCAGUAGAAUAAGUAUUUUUUGGAGAAUACACACCAAUACAACACUGUGUGUACAUUUAGAGGGUAGCUGGUUUUUGUAUUAUUAUUUUAUCAAGUAUUCAUAGCACUGACAUACUUUUAUCAGCUGUUUUGACAACUACUAAGCAUGUAUGUGGUCUUACCUAGUUAUAACCAUUUAUAACCAUAGGCCCUAAAAUAACUACAAUUUCGGGGAAUACACACCAAUACAUCUCUCUAUGUGGAUUCAGAGCCUAUCUGAGUUCUGUAUUUCAGUUCUAUCAAGUAUUGAUAACCUUACCAGACCUUGUAUACCUUUGGCAAAUUUUAUGUAUAAAAAAAUACGGUUAUUUUGGUUUUGUAUACAGUCAUAUGAUGCGUGGUAUAGAAAAGUUACAUCUUAGAGUACAUGGGGAGCUCUGCAGAUGAUCUGUCUAUCUGGUCGAAAUCACUGAUACAGGUCCCCCUCCACCCUCUGGUGGUGUGGUUACCAGGUCCCCCUCCACCCUCUGGUGGUGUGGUUACCAGGUCCCCCUCCACCCUCUGGUGGUGUGGUUAACAGGUCCCCCUCCACCCUCUGGUGGUGUGGUUAACAGGUCCCCCUCCACCCUCUGGUGGUGUGGUUAACAGGUCCCCCUCCACCCUCUGUUGGUGUGGUUAACAGGUCCCCCUCCACCCUCUGGUGGUGUGGUUAACAGGUCCCCCUCCACCCCCUGGUGGUGUGGUUAACAGGUCCCCCUCCACCCUCUGGUGGUGUGGUUAACAAGUUCCCCUCCACCCUCUGGUGGUGUGGUUAACAGGUCCCCCUCCACCCUCUGGUGGGUAACUUGUUAUGUCUCCAGAGAAUCCUGGAUUCAAAUAAAGGUCCUAUUUAUCCAAUUAAUAUAGGCAGAAGUAUAUGAGGUCAAAAUUAUCCCAAAUUACUUACAUUUUUAAAUAGUCCAUAUUCAUAGAGAAACACUAAACAAUUAUUUAGAUUUGUUAAGAACAAGUUGAUUGACAAAGUCAUAAAACAUUUUAAAAAUUUAAUAAACAAACUUUGGGCUGUAAUAACAAAAAUAUGCCCCUGGGGUCAAAAUGUGUCACGUUCUGACCUUAGUUCUGUUAUUAUAUAUUUGUUUUAGUAUGGUCAGGGCGUGAGUUGGGUGGCUUGUCUAUGUUCGUUUUUCUAUAAUUUGGGAUUUCUGUGUUCGGCCUAGUAUGGUUCUCAAUCAGAGGCAGCUGUAAAUCGUUGUGUCUGAUUGAGAAUCAUACUUAGGUAGCCUGGGUUUCACUUUUGAGUUGUGGGUGUUUAUUUUCCGUGUUUGUGCCACACGGGACUGGUUUGUUUGUUUCACGUUGUUUGUUUUGUAUUUUGUAGUGUUCAGUUUUCUUAUUAAAUUAUGGACACUUGCCACCCUUCAAAUUGGUCCGAUCUAUCUUACUCCUCAUCAGAGGAAGACGACGAACAUUACAGAAACACCCAACACAAAAGGACCAAGCAGCGUGGUAACGGGCAGCAGCAGCAUCGAUCGCAGGACUCCUAGACUUGGGAGGAGAUUCUGGACGGCAAGGGACCAUGGGCACAAGCUGGAGAAUAUCGCCGCCCCAAGGUUGAGCUGGAGGCAGCGAAAGCCGAGAGGCGGUGGUAUGAGGAGGCAGCACGGCGGCGCGGCUGGAAGCCCGAGAGGCAGCCCCAAACAUUUCUUGGGGGGGAAGCACACGGGGAGUGUGGCGAAGGCAGGUAGGAGACCUGAGCCAACUUCCCGUGCUUACCGGAGAGAGAGAGGGACCGGGCAGGCACCGUGUUAUUCCGUGAGGCGCACGGUGCCCCCGGUGCAUGUGCAUAGCCCGGUGCCGGUACAUCCCAGUGCCUCGUAUCAGCCGGGCUAGAGUGGGCAUCGAGCCGGUCCGCACCUUCACGGUCCGGUCUGUCCGGUGUCACCUCCACGUACCAGCCCUCCGGUGGCAGCCCCCCGCACCAGGCUGUCUCUCUGUCUUCUCCCUACAGGUGCUCCCGCCUGUCCAGCGCUGCCAGAGCCUUCCUCCACUCCAGCGCUGCCAGAGUCUCCCAUCUGUCCUGAGCUGCCAGAGUCUCCCGUCUGUCCUGAGCCGCCAGAGUCUCCCGUCUGUCCUGAGCCGCCAGAGUCUCCCGUCUGUCCUGAGCCGCCAGAGUCUCCCGUCUGUCCUGAGCCGCCAGAGUCUCCCGUCUGUCCUGAGCCACCAGAGUCUCCCGUCUGUCCUGAGCCACCAGAGUCUCCCGUCUGUCCUGAGCCACCAGAGUCUCCCAUCUGUCCUGAGCCACCAGAGCCAACAGAGCCGCCAGUCUGUCCUGAGCCGCCAGAGCCACCAGUCUGUCCUUAGCCACCAGAGCCACCAGUCUGUCCUGAGCCGCCAGUCAGCCAGGAGCUGCCAGAGCCGUCAGUCAGCCAGGGGCUGCCAGAGCCGUCAGUCAGCCAGGAGCUGCCAGAGCCGCCUGUCACUUCGGCGAUGCCAGAAUCGCCCUUCACUCCAGCGCUGCCGGAGUCUCCCGCCUGCCCGGCGCUGCCGGAGUCUCCCGCUGCCGGAGUCCUGUCCGUUCGGGACACGUUGCGAGGGUCCCCAGUCCGAGGUCGGCGGCGAGGGUCGCCGCUCAUAAGAGGCCAAGGGGGGGUUGAGGAAGCGGACAAAAACUAUGGUGAAGUGGGGUCCACGUCCCGCGCCAGAGCCGCCAGUCUGUCCUGAGCUGCCAGAGCCACCACCCAGACCCUCCCCUAUAGGUUCAGGUUUUGCGGCCAGAGUCCGCACCUUAGGGGGGUACUGUCACGUUCUGACCUUAGUUCCUUUGUUUUGUCUUUGUUUUAGUAUGGUCAGGGCCUGAGUUGGGGGGGCAGUCUAUGUUUGUUUUUCUAUGUUGGUUUUUGUGUUCGGCCUAGUAUGGUUCUCAAUCAGAGGCAGGUGUCGUUAGUUGUCUCUGAUUGAGAAUAUACUUAGGUAGCCUUUUUCCACCUGGGUUUCGUGGGUGUUUAUUUCCUGUUUAGUGUUUGUCAUUCACCUUACGGGACUGUUCUUUUGUUGCUUAUUGUUUUUGUUCAGUGUUCAUUUUGCUUCAUUAAAUUAUGGACACUUACCACGCUGCGUUUUGGACCUCCGAUCCUUCUUGCUUCUCCUCCUCAGAAAAGGAGGACGAGGUUCCUUACAAAAUGGCCCCAGGUGGUAGCUUCUCAGACCGAUCUGGAGAGAGUGGAGUGCAACUUGACCAAAAAAAAGAACAUUAGAAAUUGUUGUCCACAGAACAAACAUACUAAUUUACCCAUGAUACAUUUCAAUUUAGAUUGAAUAUGAAAUACUGUAUUGGACAGCCUGGAAACAUUGUUAUUUAUUUCAGAUUUUAAAAAAAAUGUACAUCUGGGACAUAAAUCAACCAGAAAACAUAUCAGUAAUAACAUAUCCAACAACAAUUUCAUGGCAGGAAAUAAGAGUUUCCCUGCGAAACAGAAUUGAGCAAAGAGGACCUAAAAAUGCGUAUUAAACACAAUCCUUACAUUAUGCAUCUUGAGUACUUUCUGAAUUCUUUCUGAACUUUCUCAAUUUGGAUAGAAAUCUGUGUAAUUUCCCCCACACUUCAGAGAAAAUAUAUGUUAGCCGACAUAGUAAAAAAAGCCAUUUAAAAGCCAGAAGGACAAGAAAUUGAGCUAAUGUGUGAACAUCAACAAUCUUUGCUCACAGUGAUAUGAAUGUAUAAAAACUUGAGUCGAAUGACUAAUUCAUGUGUGCCCUUGGAAGGCAACACUGUAUGUUGGUUCAGCUAUAUGCCCGAAUGUUGAGAAAACACACAAAGCUAUUGCAGCCUUACAGCUGUAUGGUGAAUCAACAAACUCUGCUCAAAGUAAGCUGAAUUUGAACAAGCUUGUUGAGUAAAAUUACAAAUGUAUGUUUGCUCAAUACUACUCAAAACCAUUUCCCAGCAUGCUCUAUCGCAGGUUGAUUUUCAGAAUUGUUUGUUUCAAUACCUGUGUUUUUGCAUUGAUUGGUUGAUUAAUCUUAUAAUCUUAUGCUACAAAAACAUAAAUAACAUAAAUGUUUCUAAACUUAUCCAAGCUGUUAGUAGUCUUAAUAAUUCAUCUUCCAUACGGCUACCCUGGCCAUCAUUCUCAAUGCAGUUUGCGGGUAAAUAAAUGUUCCAAUUGUUGGAUAUCCUCACUCUGGCUGGAUUCUAAAACGGAUUAAACAAAAUUUUGCAAGCCAGAAUGUGACUUGCAGGCUUAAUACAGCCUAUAAACCAGGAGUUUCAGACCACUGUGUUAGGGUGUAACUAGGCCCUCAAAGAAAAGCCUUAUGAUAUAUGUAAUGUAUUGUCAUAAAGCGUUUAAUUUUACACUGGGAAAUAUGCAAACAAUUGUAUGUUGAAUCAACUGGAAUGCAAUUUUGUUGAGCAAACUCGCCAUCCUGUUGCAGCUGAAUAAACAUAAUUACAGUCUACUUCAUGGUCUAAUUAUUUUUCUCCAUCUCUCAUUUAUCUCUCUUUCCUUUCCCUCCCCUGCAUUCCUCUCACUUUACCCCUGCCUCUCCAACUUCUCA
ensembl:lncRNA